GCAUAUCAAUAAGCGGAGGAAAAGAAACCAACAGGGAUUGCCCCAGUAACGGCGAGUGAAGCGGCAACAGCUCAAAUUUGAAAUCUGGCCCUUGGGUCCGAGUUGUAAUUUGUAGAGGAUGCUUUUGGCGAGGUGCCUUCCGAGUUCCCUGGAACGGGACGCCAUAGAGGGUGAGAGCCCCGUCUGGUCGGACACCGAGCCUCUGUAAAGCUCCUUCGACGAGUCGAGUAGUUUGGGAAUGCUGCUCAAAAUGGGAGGUAUAUGUCUUCUAAAGCUAAAUAUUGGCCAGAGACCGAUAGCGCACAAGUAGAGUGAUCGAAAGAUGAAAAGCACUUUGAAAAGAGGGUUAAAAAGUACGUGAAAUUGUUGAAAGGGAAGCGCCUAUGACCAGACUUGGGCCCGGUGAAUCAUCCAGCGUUCUCGCUGGUGCACUUUGCCGGGCACAGGCCAGCAUCAGUUUGGCGCGGGGGAAAAAGGCUUUGGGAAUGUGGCUCCCUCGGGAGUGUUAUAGCCCAUUGUGUAAUACCCUGCGCCGGACUGAGGUACGCGCAUUGCAAGGAUGCUGGCGUAAUGGUCAUCAGCGACCCGUCUUGAAACACGGACCAAGGAGUCGUCUUCGUAUGCGAGUGUUCGGGUGUCAAACCCCUACGCGUAAUGAAAGUGAACGCAGGUGAGAGCUUCGGCGCAUCAUCGACCGAUCCUGAUGUUCUCGGAUGGAUUUGAGUAAGAGCAUACGGGGCCGGACCCGAAAGAAGGUGAACUAUGCCUGUAUAGGGUGAAGCCAGAGGAAACUCUGGUGGAGGCUCGCAGCGGUUCUGACGUGCGAAUCGAUCGUCAAAUAUGGGCAUGGGGGCGAAAGACUAAUCGAACCUUCUAGUAGCUGGUUCCGCA
rnacentral:rRNA from 1 species